UACUCGAUUCUUCUUUUUCUCUCGCCUCUCUCUCUCUCUUUUUAGCAAAAGCAUAGAGGAAGAGGUUCUGGAUUGCUGCAGUACAUAGAGAUAUGCACUAUUAGAACCAGUAGGGAACUGUUAACCCAUGGUUUGUGCCAUAGUAUUAUGGAUCAUCAUCUCUCUUAUGCAAGGUUGCUCCGUACCAAAAAGAAAAAGAUGAGUCGCUUUCUAAAGAUCCUGCUUGCAAGAUUCUGCGUCGGGAGCUUACUAAAAUUGUUGUGGAUGGUGUUGUGUCUAAGCUUUGACAUAACCAGUCCUUUUUUUUCUUUCCCUGUGUUUGGUCUGAUCAGCUUCUUCCUCAUAUGUCUUUUCAGAUGAGUUUCUUUUGCUUAAGCAUUUUUCUCCAGGUUCUGGCCUCUUCUUCAGCACCAGCAAUGUGUUUCCGAAGGUCAAUAACAUAUGACACAGAGAAAGAUGAGAAAGAAGUGUUCUUCACUAUUACCUCAUGUACUCGGUCUGCUUUUGUUGCUUUGCGUCUUCCCGGCUCCAUUUUCAGUCACAGUUCCGAGGAGCUUUCCAAUCUGUUUGAAGAGAAAGAGCCAAGCUUGGAGUUGGAGGAAGUGAAGCAAGCUUUUGAUGUCAUUGAUGAAAACAGAGAUUGGUUUAUCGAUCCAAUAGAUUUUCAAAGAGUUUUGACUGCUGUUAUUCAAUUAUGUAUUUGAUUAAUACAAUCCUCUCUUAUUUUGUUGGAAUGGAUUUUAAGAUAUUUUUUCCGUCUAAA